UUACGGCCACAUCACGUUGAAAUACCGGUUCCCGUACGAUCACCGAAGUUAAGCAAUGUUGAUUCUGACCAGUACCUAGAUGGGUGAUAACUUGGCAAUACCAGAUGCUGUAAG